AGUUGAUAAGUUAAGCCAAGGUCUCAGGACAGGGUCUUGCUCAAGGUGUCGGAAUCCCACUAAUGCUGUGUUCCAGCUACGAUUUUAAUCAAAGAAUUCUAUUCAGGACACCACAUUACAUUUAAUUGUGAUGUUUCCUUAGGCUUCUUUGGCUAUGACAGUUUCUCAAACUAAACUUUUUUUGAUGACCGUGACAACUUUGUGGAGAAUUGAUGAGCAAGAAGGCCCGUGCUAGAUGCUGGCACUUUGAUGUUGGACUUCCCAGCAUCCAGAACUCUGCAAGGUCACAAGACAGAUAAGCAUAAGCUGCAAACCAAGUUCUCACAGAGAUGUAAGACAUGUUCCAAAAGUG